rnacentral:rRNA from 1 species
UACAGAGGGGGCAAGCGUUGUUCGGAAUUACUGGGCGUAAAGGGCGCGUAGGCGGCCUGUUAAGUCGAACGUGAAAUCCCCGGGCUCAACCCGGGAACUGCGUCCGAUACUGGCAGGCUUGAAUCCGGGAGAGGGAUGCGGAAUUCCAGGUGUAGCGGUGAAAUGCGUAGAUAUCUGGAGGAACACCGGUGGCGAAGGCGGCAUCCUGGACCGGCAUUGACGCUGAGGCGCGA